GCUGUAGGGAGAAGUGGGGUACUCUGGGGAGAGGCAGGCCUGACAGUUUUAAGAAAAGUGAGAGAAGCCAGGCAGUGGUGGCACAUGCCUUUAAUCCCAG
rnacentral:miRNA from 1 species